rnacentral:tRNA from 1 species
GGGGUCGUGGCCUAGCUUGGUUUAUGGCACUGGCUUCGGGCGCCAGAGUCCCUUAAAAGGCUGAAGGUCGUGGGUUCAAAUCCCACCGACCCCA